AGCCCCGACAACAGUUGAGAACAAACACACAGAUACAGUGUCUGGCUUCCCACUUGCCUCUUACAGUAUAUCCUUUGAGCCGGGAUACGGACGGCACUGAUUUACAAUGCAUGAACCCGAAUGCACAUUCCCAAACACUCUCACAGCACACUCAUAGAACUCAUGCAUGUCCUGCGGUUGUCAGGAUAUUCAAACAUGCUGACGAGACGGGCUGUCAGAGUGAAAUAUGGCAUAGAGGAGGGCUGGUGAACGCAGCACACACUGACAGCAGACUGAGUGAAUACACUUGUCAGUCUCUCAGCACAGAGCUGGGAGCUUACAGGAUGAAGGUCUGAUCACGGCAAAAAGAAAACAUGCAAAUGGAGCGAUUUUCAGUCACUUUUUUUUAAAUAUAUAUAUAUAUAUAUACCCGUUAACGUUAUAUCUUUAUCUUUAUUUUUCUCAAGAUUACAUACUGAACAACCUCUGGAAUAUGCAAACACACACACACAAAACCAUGCAGCACCAACGGGCGACAUGCAAAAGGUGUGUGGGAGCACUGGAUCGGUGCUUGGGGCAGGGAGGGUCCGUUUUGGGAUGGGAGGGGAUACUUGGGCGAGAAGGGAGAAGGGUUGAAUGCACUGAAAAUCCAAAUAAGUGGGCUAUAUAAAUGAUGUUGUUUUCAGAAUCAGCUAAAUAAAAACAAAAGUGUCGUCACACUUCUCACUUUGUCAACAAAAAACACACAAAGUCAAACCAGGAUAUGAGAAAACCAACAGCAACAACAGCAACAAUAACAACAACAUAAUCAAAAGCACAGUCUUGAACCCCACAAGAAGAAAACUGAGAGGUGUGACUGACAAUAACAGAUGACCCGUGGCUGAGGAGACUUAUUGGUGUGACGUUGAAGUUUUGGGGGUUGAGGGAUUGGGGUUUGGGCGUGGUGGUGGUGGUGGUGGAUAAUAAACAGGGUAAUGCUGUGGGCUGAAGGCGGUGGAUAAUAAACAGGGUAAUGCUGUGGGCUGAAGGCGGUGGAUAAUAAACAGGGUAAUGCUGUGGGCUGAAGGCGGUGGAUAAUAAACAGGGUAAUGCUGUGGGCUGAAGGCGGUGGAUAAUAAACAGGGUAAUGCUGUGGGCUGAAGGCGGUGGAUAAUAAACAGGGUAAUGCUGUGGGCUGAAGGCGGUGGAUAAUAAACAGGGCAAUGCUGUGGGCUGAAGGUGGUGGAUAAUAAACAGGGUAAUGCUGUGGGCUGAAGGUGAUGGAUAAUAAACAGGGUAAUGCUGUGGGCUGAAGGUGGUGGAUAAUAAACAGGGUAAUGCUGUGGGCUGAAGGUGGUGGAUAAUAAACAGGGUAAUGCUGUGGGCUGAAGGUGGUGGAUAAUAAACAGGGUAAUGCUGUGGGCUGAAGGUGAUGGAUAAUAAACAGGGUAAUGCUGUGGGCUGAAGGUGGCGGAUAAUAAACAGGAUAAUGUCGUGGGCUGAAGGUGGCGGAUAAUAAACAGGGUAAUGCUGUGGGCUGAAGGUGGUGAAUAAACACCACAGUGUGGACCAUCAAAACAAAUGGGAA